UACGUAGGGUGCGAGCGUUGCCCGGAUUUAUUGGGCGUAAAGGGCGCGUAGGCGGCCACGCACGUCCGUUGUGAAAUCGCCCGGCUCAACUGGGCGGGGUCGGCGGAUACGGCGUGGCUGGAGCAAGCUAGGGGGCAAUGGAAUUCCCGGUGUAGUGGUGGAAUGCGCAGAUAUCGGGAGGAACACCAAUGGCGAAGGCAGCUCGCUGGGACGUGACUGACGCUGAGACGCGAAAGCGUGGGGAGCAAACAGG
rnacentral:rRNA from 1 species